AUGACUUUAACAGAGAACUCCAGUGAUGCCACCUGGUCCUGUGCCACAUCACAUGCAGCCCUGAAGAGCAGUGUCAUCUGCUCUUCCUGCAGGUCACUGUCAAAGGCACUAAUAUAUCUGAAGAAGUGCUGCUUGAAUAACAAUGGUUCCUGUUUAUCACAUGCUGACAGGGGUCAGGCAUUGAGAAGGAUGCUGCAAAUACCAUGGUUUCCUAGACUCUGCAGAGGCUCUUUUUGCAUAUUAAACUUCAGUCAGCUUCAAAUGCAAGCCCAAACAGCCCUGCUAAAACAUUUUGUUCAAUGAAGGAUAAACUAUAUGAUUCACCACAUUAUUAUUUUUGCAAAAAGCUAUUAUGUAAAUACACAGGCUUAUAUGAGCUGAAAUUGUCCGAAGCAAGGAUGCAAAGAAAGGAAAUACAUACACAUCUACCUAAGCGAUGCUCACGGCAGCCUGGUUUUAACAGGCAAUUGCACACCCUCGCUUAAAGGGCAAAGAAGAAACCAUAUGUCUAUUUUAGUGACUCCAUCCUGAAAUGGUGCACUUAUUCCUUUUAUUAUAUUUUCAAAUAAAUACAUAUGGGACCCGUCA
rnacentral:lncRNA from 12 species